GACGAACGCUGGCGGCGUGCCUAAUACAUGCAAGUAGAACGCUGAAGGAGGAGCUUGCUUCUCUGGAUGAGUUGCGAACGGGUGAGUAACGCGUAGGUAACCUGCCUGGUAGCGGGGGAUAACUAUUGGAAACGAUAGCUAAUACCGCAUAAGAGUAGAUGUUGCAUGACAUUUGCUUAAAAGGUGCAAUUGCAUCACUACCAGAUGGACCUGCGUUGUAUUAGCUAGUGGGUGGGGUAACGGCUCACCAAGGCGAGGAUACAUAGCCGACCUGAGAGGGGGAGCGGCCACACUGGGACUGAGACACGGCCCAGACUCCUACGGGAGGCAGCAGUAGGGAAUCUUCGGCAAUGGACGGAAGUCUGACCGAGCAACGCCGAGUGAGUGAAGAAGGUUUUCGGAUCGUAAAGCUCGGUUGUAAGAGAAGAACGAGUGUGAGAGUGGAAAGUUCACACUGUGACGGUAUCUUACCAGAAAGGGACGGCUAACUACGUG
rnacentral:rRNA from 1 species